rnacentral:rRNA from 1 species
UGGGGAAUUGUUCACAAUGGGCGCAAGCCUGAUGACGCAACGCCGCGUGGAGGAUGAAGGUCUUCGGAUUGUAAACUCCUGUUGCUCGGGACGAAAAGCCUCGACCUAACACGUCGAGGUCUGACGGUACCGAGUGAGGAAGCCCCGGCUAACUCUGUGCCAGCAGCCGCGGUAAUACAGAGGGGGCAAGCGUUGUUCGGAAUUACUGGGCGUAAAGGGCGCGUAGGCGGCCCGCUAAGUCGAACGUGAAAUCCCCGAGCUCAACUCGGGAACUGCGUCCGAUACUGGUGGGCUUGAAUCCGGGAGAGGGAUGCGGAAUUCCAGGUGUAGCGGUGAAAUGCGUAGAUAUCUGGAGGAACACCGGUGGCGAAGGCGGCAUCCUGGACCGGCAUUGACGCUGAGGCGCGAAAGCUAGGGGGAGCAAACGGGGGUUAGAUACCCCGGUAGUCCUAGCCCUAAACGAUGAAUGCUUGGUGUGGCGGGUAUCGAUCCCUGCCGUGCCGAAG